rnacentral:rRNA from 1 species
GACGAACGCUGGCGGCGUGCUUAACACAUGCAAGUCGAACGGGAAGGCCCUGCUUUUGUGGGGUGCUCGAGUGGCGAACGGGUGAGUAACACGUGAGUAACCUGCCCUUGACUUUGGGAUAACUUCAGGAAACUGGGGCUAAUACCGGAUAGGAGCUCCUGCUGCAUGGUGGGGGUUGGAAGGUUUCGGCGGUUGGGGAUGGACUCGCGGCUUAUCAGCUUGUUGGUGGGGUAGUGGCUUACCAAGGCUUUGACGGGUAGCCGGCCUGAGAGGGUGACCGGCCACAUUGGGACUGAGAUACGGCCCAGACUCCUACGGGAGGCAGCAGUGGGGAAUAUUGCACAAUGGGCGGAAGCCUGAUGCAGCAACGCCGCGUGCGGGAUGACGGCCUUCGGGUUGUAAACCGCUUUCGCCUGUGACGAAGCGUGAGUGACGGUAAUGGGUAAAGAAGCACCGGCUAACUACGUG